GCCCGGUUAGCUCAAUCGGUAGAGCGUCAGACUCUUAAUAACGGGAUUUCAACCCAGUUACCAUGGUAUCUGAAGGCUGCGGGUUCGACCCCCGCAUUGGGCU
rfam:Arthrobotrys oligospora ATCC 24927 unplaced genomic scaffold scaffold00080, whole genome shotgun sequence.